UAACUGUGUCUUUUCUGAAUAG
rnacentral:piRNA from 1 species